rnacentral:rRNA from 1 species
GAUCCUGGCUCAGGAUGAACGCUAGCGGCAGGCUUAACACAUGCAAGUCGAGGGGUAUAGUAGCAAUACUAGAGACCGGCGCACGGGUGCGUAACGCGUAUGCAACCUACCUUUACAGAGGGAUAGCCCAGAGAAAUUUGGAUUAAUACCUCAUAGUGUUAUUAGAUGGCAUCAUUUGAUAACUAAAGUUCCAACGGUAAAAGAUGGGCAUGCGUCCUAUUAGCUAGAUGGUAAGGUAACGGCUUACCAUGGCUACGAUAGGUAGGGGUCCUGAGAGGGAGAUCCCCCACACUGGUACUGAGACACGGACCAGACUCCUACGGGAGGCAGCAGUGAGGAAUAUUGGACAAUGGGCGCAAGCCUGAUCCAGCCAUGCCGCGUGCAGGAAGAAGCAUCUAUGGUGUGUAAACUGCUUUUGUACGGGAAGAAACACUCCUACGUGUAGGAGCUUGACGGUACCGUAAGAAUAAGGAUCGGCUAACUCCGUG